rnacentral:rRNA from 1 species
AAAUUUGAAAUCUGGCGCAAGCCCGAGUUGUAAUUUGUAGAGGAUGCUUCUGGCCAGCGGCCGUUCUAAGUUCCUUGGAACAGGACGUCAUAGAGGGUGAGAAUCCCGUAUGUGACCGGCGCGCAGCCUUUACGUAGCUCCUUCGACGAGUCGAGUUGUUUGGGAAUGCAGCUCUAAAUGGGAGGUAAAUUUCUUCUAAAGCUAAAUACCGGCCAGAGACCGAUAGCGCACAAGUAGAGUGAUCGAAAGAUGAAAAGCACUUUGGAAAGAGAGUUAAAAAGCACGUGAAAUUGUUGAAAGGGAAGCGCUUGCAACCAGACUUCGUAGCGAUGUUCCGCUGGUCUUCUGACCGGUCUACUCAUCGUCGCGAGGCCAACAUCGUCUGGGACCGCUGGAUAAGACCUAAGGAAUGUAGCUUCCCUCGGGAAGUGUUAUAGCCUGUGGUGAUGCAGCGUGUCUCGGGCGAGGUCCGCGCUUCGGCAAGGAUGUUGGCGUAAUGGUUGUCAGCGGCCCGUCUUGAAACACGGACCAAGGAGUCUAACAUCUAUGCGAGUGUUCGGGUGUCAAACCCCUACGCGUAAUGAAAGUGAACGGAGGUGGGAAGCGCAAGCUGCACCAUCGACCGAUCCUGAUGUCCUCGGAUGGAUUUGAGUAAGAGCAUAGCUGUUGGGACCCGAAAGAUGGUGAACUAUGCCUGAAUAGGGUGAAGCCAGAGGAAACUCUGG